GUUUAGACCUCCCAGAGACAGAGGAGGACACGCCCACUGGAGGGGGCGAGAUGGAGGACCGUAGGUCAGGGGCGGAGUCUCAGGCUGCCUGUCAAAUGACACCGCUGGUUACGAGUGGCCCCUUGAGCAGGCCUGGUAGAAGACCCAGAGGAUUUCUUUCUUUCAUGUCCAAUAAGACCAGCAGCCCUGCAGCUGCCCCCUCUGCCCCUCCUCGAGGGCCCAGAGCAGCCCCUCAGAGGCCCCAGGUCAACACCACCCGGCCAGGGGGAAACGGGCGGCACCAGCCCCCUCCACCACCAGAACCAUGCCUGCCCCCUCCACUAGAAACACCACCAUUAGUUCCACCAGAACGGUCACUAGGCCAGACAGUUCCCCCAGGGUGACCUGGGAACAGCCCUCUGAUGUCCAGGCCUUCCACUCAGACCCAGAUCCCAGUACUUCCCAAUGUACUACAGCUACCAAGCCUUCUCAGGUACCAGCCACCCAGCCCAGUGCGUCUCCCUGUGUAGACAGCUGUUCAGCAGGCGAGGAACCCCUCAACGUGUCCCAGUACUUCUUCAGUGACAUCUUCACUGAGGUUGAGGGAAGGGAGGAAGGAGGAGGAAGUGAAAGGAGAAACGGAAGUCACUCUCGGUUUUAAUCAAACUGGAAAACAAAAUGUUAAGAAAUCCUUGAAAGAUUGCGCUUCAGGGUUCAGGGUUCAGGGUUCUUUGCACGUAUGUCUGUGUAUGUAGCAGUAAAAUUACAUCUCUGCUUGUGAUUAUGCUGUUUCAUGCUUGCAGUGAAUAGAUUUGGCCACAAGAUGGCAACAGGGAAAACAAAAAAAGUGAAAAUGUAUCUUCAAAUCAUAAAUGUUUUGUCCAAACUGGCACCUAGAAGCUUUGCCAAUGUCCCAUAUUGGAUGAUUACAUUUUGGGCUCUUUCACCCCAAUCAUAUCUUCUAGCCUUUUGGGUAAUCUAUAUAUUUUAAAAUAUAUUUAUUUGGUUAUAUUUUUUCAAACCUCACAAAGCUAGACAUUUAUGGUCAUUUUUCUCCAUCUGCAUACAAGCAGAAUACUUGAAAUCAAUGUUAACUCACUCUUCUACAUUGGAGAGUUUGGCAGUUUACUCAGGGACUUUCACAUUCAGAUUUGUGUUUUUAUUUGAAGCAUUUUUUACAUUUAAAUCGGAAACCAUUGUCUUAAUGAACAUUGUAUAUAUGUUUAUUUGAAUGUAGAUCAGAUAUACUGGAAGGGGUGUAUUCCCUGAGCAUUUACAGUUUUUCUUUCUAGGUGUAUGAACAAGACCCAGCUUGAGGGACACCACAGUGAUGUCAACACUUGUUUCUUUAUUUCAUGCUACCUGAAGAUACAGGACAUAUAUUUUCAAAUGGCUCUGCAAAGAAACCUCUCAUUUAAUACAUGUACAAGUGACAAACUCACAGAAACCGUGCACAGAUCAUGAGUCCAAUUUCAAGGAUUUAUUAUGUUCUGCAGCCACUGUUCAAACUAACAUAGCUAUUAUAUAGCUCAUGUGAAUACAAUUAUAUACGUUAAUGUCUCCUUUAGUGUUAUGUCUUGCUACAUUAUAGAAAACUGAGUAUAGAAAAGUAGAAUAAAUGCAUAAGAAUGGUCAGAGGGUUUGAAACUGGACUAGUGUAGAACAGUCCUGCUGCACACUAAACACUGCUUCUUGCAGACCACCUAUGCAACCUAUGCAGAACCUUAUGUUCACAUAAGAAAUAUGUUACGAAGUUCUUCUAAAAAUAUUGUGUUAUUUUGGAGAAGAUAGCAUGGAUAUCAUCUUAGUUAGUCUCAACAGAAAUUAAGAGGACACAUGAUCUCAAAAGCCUUAAAGGUGUAAUGAAAACUUCAGCAUUUGAGUGUAGUCUUUUUUUUGUUGCUGUGUGUGUGUCGCGGGGAUGGGGGAGGAAUGUGCAGAUGUUUAAUUUCCAAGCGGCAUAGAGAGGCAGUGCGAUCGAAGAGACGAAGCUGCAUGUUACUAGGUGACCUCACUACAUAAAUAUUCCACGCUCUCACAGUCAGCCCUUGUGCAGUUCCACUCUUCUUUUGGUCCAUGUUGAAUAGGGAUGUAAAGGAAUUCACUUUUAUAGACCCUGUGCUUUUAAAUUAAUCAGGGGUUUUCCAACUGUUUCUGUUCUGCCUUAAAGAUGUGAAAUAAACACUGUGCAUGAGAGGUAUUACUUGCCAGUCAAUGUUUUAAGCCCGUAUGAACUCAUCACUAGUAAUGUCUGUCUCUGAUUAUGAACAUGCAAUGGUAGAUUGUCGUAAACGUUUUUGUGGAUAACUCCGAACCACUAAUUGUGGCGAUAAACUGAAUACUGUAAUCUGUAAUUAAGUGUAAUCAGGAACCAAUUAAGUAAAAAUAUAGGGAAUAAUUGAAGUGCAUUAUCUUCCAGGGAAGAAGUGAUAGAGCUUCCGUUGGUAGUGGACGUUCAAGGGAAUCCACAUCCAGGGUCCAGUCUAGGGUGAAUUACAUCCAGGGUGAAUUACACAGGUGUAUUUGAUUUGUACUCGUGGGUCCUGCAUACCAUAGGGUGGCGCACAGUUGGACCAGCGUCGUUAGUGUUUGGCCGUGAUAGGCCGCCAUUGUAAAUAAUAAUUUGUUCCUAACUGACUUGCUAGUUAAAUAAAAAU
ensembl:lncRNA